ACAAAUAUAAGGAUUUCUGAUGAUACUAUUUUUAUAUGGUAAAAUAGUUUUAUAUAAGAUUAGGUUAGAGUUAAAAUACAGGCACUCCCUGAUUUAUAUAGACCUGUACUUACAUAGAUUAAUUUUAAUUAAUAUGCUGGAUUCAAACACAGUCCCUUCCAAAAAAAAAAAACCUGGUGUGGAACUCAGAAUUGAAUUCAGAUUCUCCAAGAUGGUAAGUGACUACUUUAUCAUGCACUAUAUGUGCUUAUUUUUUAAUAUAACUAUUUUUUAAUGUUAAAUCUUUGUGACCCAUUAGAAC
rnacentral:lncRNA from 1 species